rnacentral:lncRNA from 1 species
UUUUAUUUACCACAUUCAUACAUGCUCAUUUUUAAAAGUCAAUCCAGAAAUGUCCAUGCUAAAUAAACAAAAGACGCUGCCCUGCCCCUUCCUCAACCAAUUUCAUUCCCCUCCCUCACAAAAAAUUACUGCGGGCAGCUUGGCAUGCCCUGUGUAAACACACACCCACACGCACAGACACCAUGUAUGUGUCUGUGCCAUUGUCAUGUGUUUUGAGCUGUUUCCCAGCACUCUGUGUGGUGACCUAAUGAGGCUCUCCAUCCUCGUCGGCGCACAUGGAACCCCCUCGUUCUCACUGAACAGCCUCAGGCUCCUUCACACGCUGCGUCUUCUUUACAGCCUGCCAGUUAAACCCAAUGUUUUUACCUUGGAAAAUGUCACGGGCUGUUCUCCAGAAGCAGCAGUGAGCUGGUUCAUUGACGUUUGGUGACUUGUUCAGUUGUGCUCCUCACAUUCCAUUACUGCCACACCUACAGACACGUUGGUGUUUCACAAAAAGGCAAAUUCCAAAAGGCGACUGGGAGGAGCUUGCUAGCCGAGGCUCUUCUGCAGAGUGUUUUUUGGUCUUAAUGCUUCUGAAAUGCAUUUUAAAAUAAGCCAAACUGGUCAUGUGGCACCUGUGAUAUUAUCUAGAAAAGUGUGACUUGAGGGAAUUUCUCCAGAAUCAAAGAUGUCUGAACGUGUCUGCAUGAACAGAACCCAGGACGCUCCUUACUAAGCAGGCUCUGCAGAACAAACGCAAGCCAGGAGGAAAAGAGGAAAACGUAGGUUGGUGACAUGGUUUGGAAUGGGGAAGUUCGUGUGUGUGUGUGUGUGUGUGUGUGUGUGUGUAUAAUUUCGUUGAGGUAUAAUUCAUAUACCACAGAAUUUCCUUUUAAAUAUACAACUGGCUCAUUUGCAGUAAGUUUUUAGAGUUGUGCACCAGCAUCACAAGCUCAUUUCACAACAUUUCCAUCACCCCAAAAGAAGCCUCCUGCCAUGAGCAGACACUGCCCACUCCCACUCCGAGCACAACCACCACCACCCAUCUACUUUCUUCUGUACAUAUUUGCCUUUUCUGGAAAUUACAUAACGUGGAAUCGUGCAAUAUGUGGUAUUUUGAAGCUGGUUUCUUUCACUUAGCAUCAUAUAUGUUAACUAUUUUUUUUUUUUUUUUGAGACAGAAUCUCACUUUGUUGCCUAGGCUGGAGUGCAGUGGUGCCAUCAUAGCUCACUGUGGCCUCAAUCUCCCAACCUCAAGCCAUCCUUCUACCUCAUUCUCUCAAGUAGCUGGGACUACAGACAAGUGCCACCAUGCCUGGCUGAUUUAUUCUUAUUAUGAUCAUUAAUUAUUUGUUUAUUUUUAGUAGAGACAAGGUCUUGCUGUGUUGCGCAGGCUGGGCUCGAACUCCUGAGUUCAAGCGAUCCUCCCACCUCAGCCUCCCAAAGUGCUGGGAUUACAGGCGUGAGCCACGGCACCCAACAGCACUUCAUUCCUUUCUGUGGCUGAGCAUUCUUCCAUUGUGUAGAUAUAGCAUAUUUUGUUGAUCCAGUUGCUGGUUGAUGGACAUUUGGGUUGUUUCCAUGCUUUCGUUAUUACAAAUAAUAUUGCUAUGCACCUUUGUGUACAGGUCUUUGUGUAGACAUAUGUGUCACAUAUUUUCAUUUCUCUUGUGUAGAUAGAUACUUAAGAGUGGAAUUGCUGGGUCAUAUGGUAAAUCUAUGUUUAACAUUUUAAGAAACUGCCAAACUGCUUUCUAAAUUGGCUCCACCAUUGAAAGUAUGUAAAUUUGCUACUAGCUUACAAAAUACUUAAUUGAGGCAUAAUUGACAAACACAGAGUUGGACAUAUUUAAUGUGCGCAAUUUGAUGAGUUUGGAGAUACACAUGCAGCCAUGAAGCCAUCACUGCAGUAAAUGCCGUAAAUAUAUCCAUCACCUCCACAAGCUUCCUCUUGCCCUAUUCACUGAUUUUGAUAAGAAUACUUGGCAUCUACACUCUUGGGAAGUAGUUAAGUAUAUAAGGCAGGAUUGUUACUAUAGGCGCCAUGCUGUACCCUAGAUCUCCAGCACUUACUCAUCCUGCAGAACUGACACUUUGAACCUUUUGACCAAUACCUCCCCCUCUCCUCCUGUCCCCAGCACCUGGUUACCAUGAUUCUACUGUCUGCUUCUAUGAGUUAUACCUGACACUAAGACUCUUAGGAAAAAAAAAAAAAAAAAGACAGAGAAAAAGCUUCCUGACUUUGGCCUUGGCAAUAAUUUUCUAAGUAUGACCACGAAAGCACAGGCAACAAAAGCAAAGAUAGGCAAAUUGGAUUUCAUCAAACUAUAAAGGCUCUGUACAGCAAAGGAAACAACCAACGAAAGGAAAAUGCAACCUACAGAAUGGGAGAAGAUAUUUGAAAAUCAUAUAUUUGAUAGAAGAUUAAUAUUCAUAGUAUCUGAGGAACUUUUACAACUCAAUAGCAGAAAAACAAAAUAACCAGAUUGAAAACCGGGCAAAGAAAUGGAAUACGCAUUUCUCCAAAGAAGACAUACAAAUGGCCAGCAUGUAUAUGAAACAGUUGAUAUCACACUCAUCAUCAGGGAAAUACAAAUCAGAACUCAGAACCAUGAUGAAAUUUAUUUCACAUCCCUUAGAGUGACUAUUUCAUAUGUGUGCGUGUGUUUAUGUGGGUGCGUAUAUAUAGGUGUGUGUGUAUAUAUAUAUAUACACAUAGAUACAUAUAUAUAAGUAAAAAAAUGUUGGCGAAGAUGUGGAGAAAUUGGAACUCUUGUACACUGUUGGUAGGAAUGGAAAAUGGUACAAGCAUUAUGGAAAACAGCAUGGAGUUUCCUCAAAAAAUUAAAAAUAGAACUGCCAUGUGACCCAGCAAUCCCACUACUGGGUAUAUAUGCAAAGGAAUUGAAAUCAGCAUGUUGAAGAGAUACCUUCUCUCCUGUGUUUAUCGCAGCGUUAUUCACAACAGCCAAGAUAUGGAAUCAUGUCUUUUGAUGGAUGAAUGGAUAAAGAAAAUGUAGUAUUUAAAUAUAAUGGAAUAUUAUCUAGUUUUAAAAAAAGAAGAAGAAUCUGCCAUUUGUGACAACACCAAUGAUCCUAGAAGACAUUAUGCUAAGUGAAAUAGGGCAGACACAGAAGAACAAAUACUACAGGUUCUCGCUUAUAUGAAAAAGACAUUUGCUUUUCAAAAAAGAUCUUGAGAUUGUUAUUUAAUAGCCCAAGAGUAACUUAAGAUUAAUCAUUGCAACUUGGCCCCGUUCUGGGGAAAAGGCAUUUAUUUGAAGUUAUUGUGUAGAUAACCAAUGUCAUUUGAUGGUUUUGAGUGAUUUAUAAUCCUGGGGAUUUCCGUUCUCCUCUGAUUUGAAACAACAAGCAUAUUCAGGAGACUUUGCCCCAUUCUGACUGUUUCUAUCACAGCUAUGGUGCCUGGGUAUUCUACCUUUCCAACACCAGCCUCUCGCUGCGUGUGUGAGAGAAAGAGAUCAAAGCAGGAACAACAAAAUCCAGAUGCAAAUUUACUACAUAAAUAAAUGCUUUAAUAGUCUGAAAAUGUUUGUGACCUUUUAUUUUUUAAAACAUCUGCUCCUGCAUUAGUCAUGCUCUCUUCCAGUAAUAAUUAGCGAGUGUAUUUAUAUAUAUCACUCAGGGCGAGUUCUUGUGAUUUUUAUGUGUCUAGUAGGGCUUUCCAUCACAGCCCAGGAAGAAGGCCCCUUGAGAAGUUCUCCCUCUGGUCCACCAGCACCCCUUUCUCCUUUCCCAAAC